UACGUAUGAGGCAAGCGUUGUUCGGAAUUAUUGGGCGUAAAGGGCGUGUAGGCGGGGAGCUAAGUUAGGUGUGAAAUCCAUGGGCUUAACUCAUGAACUGCACUUAAUACUGGUUCUCUUGAGUUCGGGAGAGGUAAGCGGAAUUCCCGGUGUAGCGGUGAAAUGCGUAGAUAUCGGGAAGAACACCAGUGGCGAAGGCGGCUUACUGGCCUAGAACUGACGCUAAGGCGCGAAAGCGUGGGGAGCGAACGGG
rnacentral:rRNA from 1 species